UUCCCACCUACCACGUGAUAAUAACCCCUGGCAACUCGAGGCAGGUCUCCUCCGAACUCGUCUUUUGACGUCACGCACAGGAUGCGUCACAGAGCGAGGAGCUGCUGUUUCUGAAACGUAAAAAUAACUUAACAGAUUGUUGUUCCGACCGAUAGUGUCCUAUCCUAACAAGCCAUAUAUCAAUAGAAAGCUUGUUUCUUCAGAUGAUGUAAAAAUCGCAAAUUUGAGUUUUGUUGCCCAUAAAUGUCUUGGAAGGAUGGAUUUAAUCUCUGGUCUGGACUUGUCUGGAGCUGCCCGACUUUCACUAAUCGGUGACCUCUGCUCUGGUGUGAAGCGUCGCCAGAGCUCUUGAUGGCGGAACUGGAAUGUUUCAGUGACCUUUAGCUUCCUACCAUCGCUUGCAGCUUCUCGUGUUCUUCUCGUUUGAUCUUUGGCACUGAAAGAAAAACAAGAGCACUGGAGUGAAGAUGCGGGUUAUCUUCUCAACCGGAUCACGACCAUAUUGUUUUCUAGUCAAAUACGUUUAAACACCAUUAAAACCAGAGAAUUAGAUAUGAAGACAUGUUUUCAAGUUGUCCUCGUGUAUUCAAGUAAUAACCACAA